UACGUAGGGUGCGAGCGUUAAUCGGAAUUACUGGGCGUAAAGCGUGCGUAGGCGGUUUCAUAAGCUUGAUGUGAAAGCCCCGGGCUCAACCUGGGAAUGGCAUUGAGGACUGUGGAGCUAGAGUGCGGCAGAGGGAGGUGGAAUUCCACGUGUAGCAGUGAAAUGCGUAGAGAUGUGGAGGAACACCGAUGGCGAAGGCAGCCUCCUGGGCCGACACUGACGCUGAGGGCACGGAAAGCGUGGGGAGCAAACAGG
rnacentral:rRNA from 1 species